AAGAAGGCUUCAGCUUUCACUCUAGGAUGGGCCCGCGGUGCAUUAGCUAGUUGGUAAGGUAACGGCUUACCAAGGCGAUGAUGCAUAGCCGAGUUGAGAGACUGAUCGGCCACAAUGGAACUGAGACACGGUCCAUACUCCUACGGGAGGCAGCAGUAGGGAAUCUUCCACAAUGGGCGCAAGCCUGAUGGAGCAACACCGCGUGAGUGAAGAAGGGUUUCGGCUCGUAAAGCUCUGUUGUUGAAGAAGAACGUGCGUGAGAGUAACUGUUCACGCAGUGACGGUAUUCAACCAGAAAGUCACGGCUAACUACGUGCCAGCAGCCGCGGUAAUACGUAGGUGGCAAGCGUUAUCCGGAUUUAUUGGGCGUAAAGCGAGCGCAGGCGGUUGCUUAGGUCUGAUGUGAAAGCCUUCGGCUUAACCGAAGAAGUGCAUCGGAAACCGGGCGACUUGAGUGCAGAAGAGGACAGUGGAACUCCAUGUGUAGCGGUGGAAUGCGUAGAUAUAUGGAAGAACACCAGUGGCGAAGGCGGCUGUCUGGUCUGCAACUGACGCUGAGGCUCG
rnacentral:rRNA from 1 species